rnacentral:rRNA from 1 species
CCUACGGGAGGCAGCAGUGAGGAAUAUUGGUCAAUGGACGAGAGUCUGAACCAGCCAAGUCGCGUGAAGGAUGACUGUCCUAUGGAUUGUAAACUUCUUUUGUCGGGGAGUAAAACAAGGCACGUGUGGCUUUUUGAAUGUACUUUAUGAAUAAGCAUCGGCUAACUCCGUGCCAGCAGCCGCGGUAAUACGGAGGAUCCGAGCGUUAUCCGGAUUUAUUGGGUUUAAAGGGAGCGUAGGUGGGUGGUUAAGUCAGUCGGAAAAGUUGGGGGCUCAACCGUUAUAGUGCGAUUGAUACUGGUAGUCUUGAGUAAAGGUGAGGUAGGCGGAAUGCGUGGUGUAGCGGUGAAAUGCUUAGAUAUCACGCAGAACUCCGAUUGCGAAGGCAGCAUACCAACGCGUGACUGACAUUGAUGCUCGAAAGUGUGGGUAUCAAACAGGAUUAGAUACCCGUGUAGUC